rnacentral:rRNA from 1 species
GGGUAAAUCGGGAAGCUCAACUUUCCGACUUCCGAGGAGACUGGCGGACUUGGGACCGGGAGAGGCCAGAGGUACGUUCUGGGGUAGGGGGUAAAAAUCCUGUAAUCCUAGAAGGACCACCGGUGGCGAAGGCGUCUGGCUAGAACGGAUCCGACGGUGAGGGACGAAGCCCUGGGUCGCAAACGGGAUUAGAUACCCCGGUAGUCCAGGGUGUAAACGCUGCCGACUUGGUGUUGGGGGCCCUUCGGGGGAACUCAGUGCCGGAGAGAAGUUGUUAAGUCGGCCACUUGGGGAGUACGUCCGCAAGGAUGAAACUUAAAGGAAUUGGCGGGGGAGCACCGACCAACGGGAGGAGCGUGCGGUUUAAUUGGAUUCAACACCGGAAAACUCACCAAGGGCGACUGUUACAUGAAAGCCAGGCUAAUGACCUUGCUUGAUUUUCAGAGUAGUGGUGCAUGG